rnacentral:lncRNA from 1 species
CGAGAUCUGACGGUUUUAUAAAGCGUAGUUUUCCCUGUACAAGCUCUCGCCUGCCGCCAUGUAAACGUUCUUUGCUCCUGCUUCGUCUUCUGCCGUGAUUGUGAGGCCUCCCCAGCCAUGUGGAACUGCUAUUGGGUUUGGAGUGAAUUCUCAGAAACAUCACUACUGACAUAACUCCAUAAAGAAUUCAUAAUUUCUACUCACAUGUUUUACCCACAUCAAUAACAGAAUCUCAGGAAAACCAAAGUGGAGUUUACAAUGUUCAUUUUGACACUGUGCAUUAGACUUCUCGACUUCAAGCUACAAAAACCAGCACAGAACCUGGAAAAAUUUUACCUCCUGGCAUUUUUGUUUCUCUACCCUGAUGCUUGUUGUUGAGUUUUACCCAUGCUUUGACCAUCAGCAAAUUGAAGA